CUAAUGCAUGUGUUAAGUUGACUCCAUCUUUAGGAAUGCAGCAUAAAAAUUCCAUUCCAGUUGCCCGUCCAGCCAGAUUAUAAUUCAGCUGGUGAUACAAGUGUUUGUAUAGCUGAUAAAAUUGAACUUUUGCUCAGGAACUCAAUUCCAUGGGGCUAUCGUCAUUCUGCAGCUUCUCAAUCUUCAUCCUGUUUCUAAUCCUCCAGUCAUCAGACUGCCAACAAGAAUAUAUCAGUACUCUGUCGCUCGACUGCAGUAAAAAUUCUUCUAUAUCAAAAGGGUAUGUUUGCAAUGGAAAUCAAAUUCCAUGCCAGUCCUUUUUAACCUUAUUCUCCCGCCGUCCCUACGACUCCCCCAUCACCAUUUCUAAUCUUUUAGGUUCGGAAGCCUCGAGUAUAGCCUUGAUCAACAACGUAUCAUCCAUAUUCACAUUUCCCUCAGAGAAAUCGACCAUAGUUCCUGUUUCUUGUUCAUGUGCUCAGGGCUUCUACCAGCAUAAUACUUCUUAUUUUAUUCAAGAUCAAAGCGAGACAUUUUUCACAGUAGCCAAUAAUACUUAUCAAGGCCUUACUACUUGUCAGGCAAUUAUGGAUCAAAAUUCACAAUUAUCUGCUAGACCAGAUCUUAGCGUGGGAUCGAAGCUUACGGUUCCACUAAGAUGCGCAUGCCCGAGUACAAAUCAAACAGCAGAAGGGGUGAUCUCCUUGCUGGUUUAUACAGUGACGUGGGGUGAGACGAUUUCAUCGAUUGCACAGAGGUUUGGGGUUGAUGAAGCAAGCGUGCUGGAGGCCAACAAGUUGUCACAGGAAGGCAAUAUCUAUCCCUUCACACCUAUUCUGGUUCCACUUGCAAACGAGAAUCAUUUGAUAAAUGCGGGGAAUUCAGCAAAUCCGAGGAAUUCAGCAAAUCCAGGGAAUUCAACAAAUUUAGGGAAUUUCUCUUGCCUCUAUGCUAAUGGAUCUGUUCCAGUUGGAGGAGCAGAAGAUAUCUAUUGCAGAGUACAAAAUAAAAAGUUCCCUACCAAACUGGUUGCAGUAUUAGGUGUGGGCAUUGGCGUGGGACUGCUGUGUUUGUUUAUUUUCGCCUAUAAGUUAUAUCAAUUCUUGAAGAAAAGAAGAUACAGAAUUCGAAAAGCCAGAUUGUUCGUGCAAAAUGGUGGCUUGUUGUUGCAACAGCGACUAUCAUCUUAUGGAAGUAGUGAAAAGGCCAAAUUAUUUACUGCAGAGGAGCUGCAGAGAGCAACCGACAACUACAACCAGAGUAGAUUUCUCGGUCAGGGAGGCUUUGGCACUGUUUACAAGGGGAUGCUACCAGACGGUAGCAUAGUUGCUGUUAAAAGAUCAAAAACUAUUGACAGAAGAGAAAUUGAACAAUUUAUAAAUGAGGUUGUCAUUCUAUCCCAGAUAAAUCAUCGAAACAUAGUGAAGUUUCUUGGCUGUUGUUUAGAAAGUGAAUUUCCAUUACUGGUUUAUGAGUUCAUUUCUAAUGGAACCCUUUCCCAACAUAUUCAUGCGCAAGACCAAGAAUCAUCACUUCCAUGGGAGGAUCGUUUCAGAAUUGCAAGUGAAGUAGCUGGAGCAGUAGCAUACAUGCAUUCUGCAGCUUCAUUUCCAAUCUUCCAUAGAGAUAUCAAAUCUUCAAACAUACUCCUUGAUGAUAAAUACAGCGCAAAAGUAUCAGAUUUCGGGACUUCAAGAUUGAUCUCAUAUGACAAAACCCACAUAACCACUAUAGUUCAGGGAACAUUUGGGUACUUGGAUCCUGAAUACUUCUACACAAGCCAAUUCACAGACAAAAGUGAUGUGUACAGCUUUGGGGUUGUGCUAAUAGAGCUCUUGAGUGGAGAAAAACCCAUCUCUUCUACUAGAGCUGAGGAUGAGAAAAAUCUUGUAGCACAUUUCGUUUCAUUGGCAGAGGAGAAUUGCCUGCAUAAAAUUUUAGAUCCUCGAGUUGCAAGAGAAGCAAAGCCAGAGCUUGCUAAUGCAGUUGCAGAGCUUGCCAUGAAAUGCGUGAGGUCUAAUGCUAAGAAUAGGCCUUCAAUGAGGGAGGUAGCAAUGGAACUGGAUGGAAUGAUCAAAUCACAGCACUGCUUAGAGAUUGACCAAGAACAUCUAGUGAGAGAUGAAGAGGACAGUAGUACUAGUGAAACAGACAGCAAAUUUGGAGAAGAUGAUGUUGCCAUUUCCGAAGAGAUGGGAACUGUCUGCAUCUAGAUUCUAACUAUCCCAAAUUGGCUGGAGGAUCAUAUUAAGGAUGAGAACUGCUGGUCUUAAUUUGGCAUGUGCAGUAUAUUGAAUGUUCCAAGCCAAUGUGUUUACGAGAUAGAAGAAUUACGACUCUAUUAUCACUAGCCAUUGCUCAUUGAUAAGAGUCAGGAUGUUCUAAAGAAAGACAGGUGGUUAUAAUGAGGUUGUUGCAGCGUUUGGAGAGGAUAUUUUAGAAGCUAAUGGGGAAGUGGAUAGGCCAAAGCUCGGUCAGAUAGUGUUCUCUGAUCCUGCAAAACGUUAACUUCUUAAUCGGCUUUUGGCUCCUUAUAUUUCUUCUGGUAUCUUUUGGUAAGUUUUCAAGCUGUGGUUGAAGGGGUGUAAUGUAAUUGUCCUUGACAUCCCAUUGUUGUUUGAGACCAAGAUGGAUAAAUGGACAAAGCCAGAUGUUGUUGUAUGGGUUGAUACUGAAACACAGCUUCAGCGGCUUAUGGGAAGGGAUGGAUCCUCGGAGGCGGAUGCCAGAAAUAGGAUAAAUGCACAGAUGGCCCUGGAUUUGAAAAGGUCCAAGGCUGACAUUGUUAUUGAUAACACUGGUUCAUUAGAGGACUUGAAGGAACAGUUCCAGCAGGUAUUAUUCCAGGUAACUAGGCCUCUGACAUGGUCUGAAUUCUGGCUUUCAAGACAAGGUGCCUUGAUUGCCCUUAUUUCCACUGUAGUUGCAGUUGUUGCAUGCAAAAAUGUUCACGGGAUAUUAUAAAGGAAAAUUUUCAAACUUGUAGAACUUGGAAGUAUUUCAUGCUCGUUUUUUUGGAUAAUAAAAGGGCACUGCACCAACUACAGAAGAUGGGUAAGCUAUCCCAACACCAUCAAUAGAAAGAAGACCUGGGAUUCACCGAGUAGAGGAAUGCAGAACAGGAACCCCCAUAGACAGAGAAAGAGCUUGGUUUGGGAGCCAAUCUGUGGCGUGGUUCCCUUACCUCUGCUUGGACUGCAGAACGUCUGCCAAAUUGCCCAUAUUCAUUGCAAAGCUGCUACACCAGGCACCAUUCGUCUGCAGAGACAAGCUAUUUAUACUUGUAACUUCAUUUCAUUUUAUGGAACGAGUUUUAUGUACUUUGAGAUAAGCACUCUUAAUGGUAAUCAUUUUAACUUUGCAAA